CUAAAAUUUUAUGGUGCAAGAUGAGCAUGCCCAGAAACGUUCCUGUCCAUCACUGUAAUCUCUGUGACCUUAAACUGAGCAUGCUCAGGAACGGUUACCUCCGUGUGAAUGUGUGUCAGCUCCCUGAAUGAAAGCCCCACGCUUGCUUUGCUGCCAGUGUUGCUCUGGAAAUGACUCUCUUGGUCUCCUUGCCUGUUGCAGGGGCAUCUCUGCAUCAUUAGCCUUGCAAAACGGUCUGUUCCUACCACGCAUCAGACUCCAUGACACAUCCAAGACUCUCACAGAAGCACAAAAGGGGGAAGCAAACUAUUUUAGAGAAGUCUUCAUCAAUUUCUAUGAGGCCUCCCAUGUCCUUAACUCAUAAACACCCUCCCCUCUGUUGAAGAGAGCCUGUAAGAGCCCCUCCAGAUCCUCGGUUAUGCAUCUUUCCCAAGAGGCUUGCUCUCACUCCAAGCAUGUUCUUUCUCUAUGAAAUCACACUUUCUCCUGAUUACUUAAUAAAAAAAAUCAACUGUGUGCAUUCACUCAGAAAUAUUUAUUGACCUACUAUGUGCCUGGGACACCAAAUAAGCAAAAUGAAGCCCCCUGCUCUGUAAGAGCUAACAUUCUAACACAAUAAACUUAAUAAAACACAAAAAA